GUCGAGAAUCUUUCACAAUGGGGGCAACCCUGAUGGAGCGACGCCGCGUGGAGGAUAAGGUCUUCGGAUUGUAAACUCCUGUCAUGCGUGAACAAGGUUGCUUGGUUAAUACCUGGGCAAAUUGAUGGUAACGCAAGAGGAAGAGACGGCUAACUCUGUGCCAGCAGCCGCGGUAAUACAGAGGUCUCAAGCGUUGUUCGGAAUCACUGGGCGUAAAGGGUGCGUAGGUGGCGUGGUAAGUCAGAUGUGAAAGCGCGGGGCUCAACCUCGGAACUGCAUCCGAUACUGCCAUGCUAGAGUACUGGAGAGGUGACUAGAAUUCUCGGUGUAGCAGUGAAAUGCGUAGAUAUCGAGAGGAAUACCAAAGGCGUAGGCAGGUCACUGGACAGUUACUGACACUGAGGCACGAAGGCCAGGGGAGCGAACGGGAUUAGAAACCCGGGUAGUCC
rnacentral:rRNA from 1 species